CUUUCCUGUUCACAUUGUCCAGGUUCAGCAAAAAUCCAUUAAGUCUCUGCAGAAGUUUCAGCUUGGAGAAAGUCAGCCUUCCCUGAAUAUAGAGAUAAACCAAUAGAGUCCCAAGGAGUCAAUCUUCAUUUUGUAUGUGGUCCAACAUUCCUCUCUAAUCCUUUAUAAAAACAUGGUGGAGGGGCGAGUGAGGGUUAAUUUUAAUAGUUAACAUGACUGGAUUAAGGAAUAUAGAGAGAACUGGUAAAGUAUCACUGAUCAGUGGGUCGUGAGGGUGUUUCCAGAGGAGACUGGUGUGUGAGUCAGUGGAUCAUGUGGGGAAGACCCACCCUCAAUGUGGGAGAGCAUCAUUCAAGCAGCUGUGGACUAGGAUAAAACAAAAAUAGAGAGAAAAGGGUUUCCUUUUGUUCUCUCCUGGAGCUGGGACACUCUUCAUCUCCUGAACUUUGGACAUUAGAAUUCCAUUCUCCCUGGCCUUGAGACUCUGAGACUUACACAAGCAGCCCCACCCAGGUUCUCAGGCCUUCGGACUCACAUUGAGAAUUACACCAUCAGCUUCCCUGGUUCUGAUUCUUUAGAACUUGGACUGAGCCACGCUACUAUCAUCCCAGGGUCUCCAGCUUACAAGUGUCCUGCCAUGGGACUUCUCAGCCUCCAUAAUCAUCUGUCACAUUGAAGAAAAGUUGGACUAUGCCACAGCUGGAUUGGGACCAAAUGCACGUCGACGGAGAUACAGUCCUUAACUACAAAUAAAGCAAGUGCUUCAUGAUAAGGAAAGUUGAAGCCUUCCUAUGUGGUUUGGGCUUGUGUCCCUGACCAAAUCUCACGUUGAACUGUAGUCCCCAGUGAUGGAGGAGGGGCCUGGUGGGAGGUGAUGGCAUCAUAGGGAUAGAUGAUACCAAAGCGGCCAACGAGUUUAAAACUCUUUUUGCGCAGUAGGAAUGACUCCAUGAAGAUUUCUCAUCAUGGAGCCCAGACUAGAUGGACCCAAAUCUCCAGACUCCCAGCUCUUCUGUAAACCCCAUCCUGAUUCUCUGAGUCUCUGAAUCUUUUAUCCUCAUUUUCUUCCCAACUGUCCAUAAUGUAGAAUUUAAAUAAAAGAUUAAAUGUAAUCUUUAUAACAUUAUUAUAUUAUUGAACAGUUUCAGGUUUCUUGUUCUUAUUUACAAAAAACUAAUAAGUAGAAAUUUUAUACUUCUCUGAGCAUAAAACUAUACAAAAUAAAAAUUAUAUAAAAUUAAUUUGAUUUUCACUUAUGAGGUCUAUAAUUAUUCCCUUCAUGGUUAAUUAUCCUCAAUAGGAAACAAAUGGUUUCCUACCUUCUUACUAAGUUACAAAACUCUCAUUUAUUAAUAAUCAUUUAUAUUAAUAAUAAUUACUAAAUUGAAUAUGCCAGCUCUUACCAGAUUUAUGCUAGACUUUAAUAAGUCCCUCUCUUCCCAGAAGCAGGAACAAAGUAGAGAUGCAUCAAAUGAGCUAAAUCUAAUCUAAUUUUCCUUAUUGAGACUGGUUCUUAGGACCCUUCUUUCAUACUCUGGAAACUGGGACACACUUGUAAAUAUUAAGU
rnacentral:lncRNA from 10 species